rnacentral:lncRNA from 10 species
CGUAGGAUUGAUGUCUGUUUUCUUAACCAUGGUAAUCCAGUGUCUAGCCCAGUGCCUGCCAUUGGCUGCAAUAUAUUACAGCAGUAACAUAUCACAUAUUACUGCUACUAAUGUCUAAUAUUAAUUGACUAUGUAUUAUGUGCCAGACACUGUUCAAAACUGCUUUACAUAAAUCAUCUCCUUUUAUCUUCACAAUAACUCUCUGAAGCAGGAGCGAUUAUUAUUCCCAUUUUGUAGAUGAGGAGACUGAGAUACAGGGACACUAACUGGUUCAAGGUAUCACAGCUAGGAAGUAGCACAGUGGAGACUUAAACCCAGGGAUGCCAGCCCCAAAGUCAGGAAGUGUUCACUAAUGUAUGUUGAAUAAAUGAAUGAAUCAUGAUCAAUAUUACUGUGUAUCUUCUGGACUAAUUGCCUAGCCAGUGCAAACAUGUCUUCUACAACUAUUCUAAGAGUUAGUUCUCCAGAUCGUUCUGAAAUACUUCUUGCAAUGGGAUUCAUUAGCUUUUCCAGUGAGCAACUCUAAUAACUAGGAUGAUCUUCAUUACAUAAAACUGAAAUCCACUUCUGUGGUAAUUUUACCUGUGGACACCUGUUCUGCUCUCAGUAGUUUAAAAGAACUUUAGUUCCUCUCAUAUAGCUCUGAUAAGAGUUUUCACUUAGAUGACAGCCUAUGUUCCAGCUAUAUCUCCAGAUUCUGGCCAAACCAUAGUGUACUGCUAUACCUGUUAAACUGAGGCAUCCACACCUGGAUAGAAGGCUUUCCAGGAAUGGUUUGUCCAGGGUGGAAUAGAGUAGGAGUAUUCAGCUCUGUAACCCUGGGGACUGACAUGAUGCUUGUUGAAUUGAAAUGAAAUGCUUUCAUAGUGGUAAUAAUAAUCUCUUUACUUUGUAGUUGAAAAUUACAAAAUAUGUAUGUGUGCCCGAUUUCAGUUGGUUUUUCUCUACAAUAUGUUGUUUAAUCUCUGCUGCCUUUUUGAUUUGAGGCUUCAGGAUAUUAGAGCUAUAAGCAACAUGAGAGAUGCUCUGAGGUCCAGAGAGGUUGAAUGGUUUGCUUAGAGUCAAGUUAAGUUUCCUUUUAAAACUGAUAAUUUCUGGAAACUAUGUCCUUCUUCCUAUGAUCUCCCAUGAACCUGAUGGGUUUCCUGCCCUCUGGUCCUUUUCAGUAUAUUGACUGUGGUCAAAAUAGUGUUGGCAAUGAACUUUCUAUCAUUGGAGGUGUAUGAACUGAUAAUGAGUUGGCUUUUGAGUAAGGAUGUUGUACCUACAACAACAGCUGAGACAUCUAAUGAGUAUUGGUCUAAAUGAUCUUUCAGGUAAUGUAACCUCUGGCCUUACAAAAACUAUGCCACCCAUAGACUGCAUAGGGAUCAGGUAGAGUUUUAGCCACAAAGCUUUCAAG